CCCUUAGAUGUUCUGGGCCGCACGCGCGCUACACUGAUGCAUUCAACGAGCCUAGCCUUGACCGAGAGGUCCGGGUAAUCUUUUAAACUGCAUCGUGAUGGGGCUAGAUUAUUGCAAUUAUUAAUCUUCAACGAGGAAUGCCUAGUAAGCGUGAUUCAUCAAAUCGCGUUGAUUACGUCCCUGCCCUUUGUACACACCGCCCGUCGCUCCUACCGAUUGAGUGUGUUGGUGAGGAGUUUGGAUUGGCCUCGGAAGGUGGUUCGCCACCGUCCGUAGCUGAGAAGUUCUCCAAACCGCCCCACUUAGAGGAAGGAGAAGUCGUAACA
rnacentral:rRNA from 1 species